GCGGGAUUAGUUAAACGGCUUAACAUCACCUUCCCAAGGUGAGGAAACGGGUUCGACUCCCGUAUCCCGCU
rnacentral:tRNA from 1 species